AUCGAAAUAGCUCAGUUGGGAGAGCGUUAGAUUAUAGAUCGAAAGGUUCGAUCCCCGCCGAAG
rnacentral:tRNA from 1 species